rnacentral:rRNA from 1 species
CAUUUAAAGAGUGCGUAAUAGCUCACUAGUCGAGUGACACUGCGCCGAAAAUGUACCGGGGCUAAACAUAUUACCGAAGCUGUGGAUUGUCCUUUGGACAAUGGUAGGAGAGCGUUCUAAGGGCGUUGAAGCAUGAUCGUAAGGACAUGUGGAGCGCUUAGAAGUGAGAAUGCCGGUGUGAGUAGCGAAAGACGGGUGAGAAUCCCGUCCACCGAUUGACUAAGGUUUCCAGAGGAAGGCUCGUCCGCUCUGGGUUAGUCGGGUCCUAAGCUGAGGCCGACAGGCGUAGGCGAUGGAUAACAGGUUGAUAUUCCUGUACCACCUAUAAUCGUUUUAAUCGAUGGGGGGACGCAGUAGGAUAGGCGAAGCGUGCGAUUGGAUUGCACGUCUAAGCAGUAAGGCUGAGUAUUAGGCAAAUCCGGUACUCGUUAAGGCUGAGCUGUGAUGGGGAGAAGACAUUGUGUCUUCGAGUCGUUGAUUUCACACUGCCGAGAAAAGCCUCUAGAUAGAAAAUAGGUGCCCGUACCGCAAACCGACACAGGUAGUCAAGAUGAGAAUUCUAAGGUGAGCGAGCGAACUCUCGUUAAGGAACUCGGCAAAAUGACCCCGUAACUUCGGGAGAAGGGGUGCUCUUUAGGGUUAACGCCCAGAAGAGCCGCAGUGAAUAGGCCCAAGCGACUGUUUAUCAAAAACACAGGUCUCUGCUAAACCGUAAGGUGAUGUAU